rnacentral:rRNA from 1 species
CCUACGGGUGGCAGCAGUGGGGAAUAUUGGACAAUGGGCGAAAGCCUGAUCCAGCCAUGCCGCGUGUGUGAAGAAGGCCUUCGGGUUUUAAAGCACUUUCAGUGGGGAAGAAAGCCUUGGGGCUAAUACCCUCGAGGAAGGACAUCACCCACAGAAGAAGCACCGGCUAACUCCGUGCCAGCAGCCGCGGUAAUACGGAGGGUGCGAGCGUUAAUCGGAAUUACUGGGCGUAAAGCGCGCGUAGGCGGUCUGAUAAGCCGGUUGUGAAAGCCCCGGGCUCAACCUGGGAACGGCAUCCGGAACUGUCAGGCUAGAGUGCAGGAGAGGAAGGUAGAAUUCCCGGUGUAGCGGUGAAAUGCGUAGAGAUCGGGAGGAAUACCAGUGGCGAAGGCGGCCUUCUGGACUGACACUGACGCUGAGGUGCGAAAGCGUGGGUAGCAAACAGGAUUAGAUACCCGUGUAGUC